rnacentral:lncRNA from 1 species
CUUUUCUGAAGAACAGGAGUUAUGGAGCCCUUCUGCAUUUAUUCUCUAGGGUUCUUCAGGAAACCUGUCUGCAGAUGGCUCACAGUACCAGUGCCAAAAGGGGCUCCAGCCUUGCAAUAGCUGCAGCUUUGGCCAGCAGCAAAUAACGCCAGUGACAACGUCAGUAUUCAUCCUGUGCAGAUGGCAGAGUAUCCCUCAUAAAGAGUUGCCAAGAUGCUCCGGGACUGUGGCCUUCAUGUGCCAGCCACUUGCAGACUCGGAUCUUGCGAGCCAAAACCUCCUGUCAGCUGACACACGUAACUGUUCUCCUGCAGCUGAGAGCCCCAGUUGCCAGCCAGAGAUGGCAAGAUGAUCACCCCACCCGGGGAGAGCUCCCAGUUCAGAAGGUAGGAAUGGGGAUUGCUAUGUGUGCAGAGCAGUUCCCUACAGGGUCCUGCUGAG